rnacentral:rRNA from 1 species
UACGUAGGGUGCAAGCGUUGUCCGGAAUUAUUGGGCGUAAAGAGCUCGUAGGCGGUUUGUCGCGUCGGCUGUGAAAACUCGGGGCUCAACCCCGAGCCUGCAGUCGAUACGGGCAGGCUAGAGUCCGGCAGGGGAGACUGGAAUUCCUGGUGUAGCGGUGAAAUGCGCAGAUAUCAGGAGGAACACCGAUGGCGAAGGCAGCACUCUGGGACGUGACUGACGCUGAGACGCGAAAGCGUGGGGAGCAAACAGG